AAAAGAAAAAAAUAUAUAUAUAUUAGAAAUGCACAAGACAGCAAAUUCAUCAAUCACCCAUCCGGGAACCAGAAUAAUAUUUACUGUUAAUAAUGGAAAAUGUUUAGAUCACUGACAGACAGUUUCUACUAGUGCACACAGACAAAUGGAAGAUGUUUGGUUAUUUCUUCUUUAAAGAGUGGCACAUCAAACUACAGCUGAUUGCUGGUGAUGAAGCUUCCAUCCAGACCACAACGCCUCAAUCCAUCAUCACGCUGCCAAUUUGAUUCAAUUUACUUUACGAGGAACCCAUUUGCGUGCAUGUGUGGCAAACCCCCUUUCAGGGAGUAUGGUAGCUACAGUUACAACUAGAGCAUCCAACAGUCAGCAAGUGAGACGGAUGAAGAAAGAAUGGAAGUGUAAUUUAGAUGAGGAAAAAUAACCGGAACCAAUUUUACUAUAAAUUUUCCAUAAAGUGGUACAAAAUGUCUUAAAAGACGCACCGUUACAGGAUCACUGGAAGGAGUAGGGGAUGGUAGAGAAACUUCAACCUUCUCCUCAGCAAGCAAUUCCAGGUCUGGUUCAGGCAUACUCCCACCAGCAAUCAGGGAGGACGUGUUGCCAGAAGUACCAGCAGUUCGUUCAUUUUCACGAGGGGAAACUGAAGCUUCCGCGAAUUCACCAUCUGGCAAUUGCUCAAUUGGAAUUUCUGCAGUUAACGAGUCAUCAUAGUCUAUUUCUUGGUCCCAAGGUUCCUUGGGAUCUGAUGGAAUCUCCUGGAAUGUCUUGUAAACAGUUUCGCGUUCACGAUGUAUUCUUUUUUUCUGAACUUCUACUUCCUUACUAUUCUCCCCA